GAUGAACGCUGGCGGCGUGCCUAACACAUGCAAGUCGAGCGAUUUACUUCGGUAAAGAGCGGCGGACGGGUGAGUAACGCGUGGGUAACCUGCCCUGUACACACGGAUAACAUAUCGAAAGGUAUGCUAAUACGAGAUAAUAUACUUUUAUCACAUGGUAGAAGUAUCAAAGCUUUUGCGGUACAGGAUGGACCCGCGUCUGAUUAGCUAGUUGGUAAGGUAACGGCUUACCAAGGCGACGAUCAGUAGCCGACCUGAGAGGGUGAUCGGCCACAUUGGAACUGAGACACGGUCCAAACUCCUACGGGAGGCAGCAGUGGGGAAUAUUGCACAAUGGGCGAAAGCCUGAUGCAGCAACGCCGCGUGAGCGAUGAAGGCCUUCGGGUCGUAAAGCUCUGUCCUCAAGGAAGAUAAUGACGGUACUUGAGGAGGAAGCCCCGGCUAACUACGUGCCAGCCGCCGCAGUAA
rnacentral:rRNA from 1 species